AAAGUCGUAACAAGGUCUCCGUUGGUGAACCAGCGGAGGGAUCAUUACAGAGUGUAAAAACUCCAACCCUAUGCCUAUUUAUCUUGUUCCUUCGGUGGGCGGCCCCAGGGGGGGCCUCCAGCCUGUAAAAAGGUGUCUGCCGGAGACCAAAAACCUGAAAUCAGUGUACCUCUGAGCCUACAAACAAUUGUCAAAACUUUCAACAACGGAUCUCUUGGUUCUG
rnacentral:misc_RNA from 1 species